AAUAAUCUGUGUUUCAUGAUGUCUAGGUUCUUCCCACAACCUUUACCACUGGCUGGUCCUAGCAGCAAUUGUGCUCUUUAUUCUGGCAGUAGUUGUCAUCUUAAUUCUAGCAGCAGUAGCUUUAGUUGUCAAAUGCUGUAAGAGAAAUAAACAAGCAGUACAAGAAAUUCAAAAAGCAGAGGCGAUACAAUUGACAUAUCACAUAAACAACAAUAUGGGGAGUGAUGAAGUUACUGUAUGACUGGUUUCAAAUGGAGUUAAACAGCACGUUUAAUGCAGUCAUUUCAUGCAAAGGAUUUGCCGGACAGUGUGUUUCCUGCAUUCAUGAAGAUGUUUGAUCGUGAUGUCUGAUCUUCCUCUCUUUAACUACUCUGGAUCUGAUUUUAAACACCAUACAGUCAUCACCACCAGGACAGAAAUGUUUUGGAUUACAACUUUAGUGAAACAUGAGUCUCACAUCAGAAAAUCUCAUUGAAAUCUUGCGAUGUCUCCUGCAGACUUAAACAAACAUGUUUGACCUUGGGCAUAAAGAAAUGGCAUUAAUGCUAUAUGUGGACUGCUUUUUACAUCUUUGAUGUCAAGUGUUAUUUUGGACUGUGCCUCCUACACCUUGAUUGCGGUUGUUAUGCUGUACGUUUUGUCUUUCAUCAUCUCGCUUUCUGAUUGGGUAUUGUUUCGUUCCACGUGACAGUCUACAGUGUGUAGAUUCUAACCAUUGUGCUUCCGAGCAGAUUCAAGUCACUAAACACACCACAGAAAAAUCGGAUAAGAUAAUCGGUACAACCAAAGACGAUUGGGACCUUUACCAAGGGGGAAAAUCGACAUAAUUUUGGCCAGAUUAUCUUCUAGUCUGUGACGGCAUGACCGCAGCAUUGACUGCAGAGAACCAGCAGACUGAAGAACAGUUUCUACCCACAUUUUAAAUAAAGACACUAAAGGUCUUUACCCACUGCCAGUGAUGCAAUAAAAAGAGGCGAAUCGCCUACAAACUGUGACCAAAUGAUUGUUCGCCUUGAGCAGUUUCAUGCCUGGCAUUUAGAUGUUACUGAUCAAGAUUGGAUUUUUUAUCUUUAUUUAAGGAUGUCUGUCUGUCAGUUUGAAGUGGCUCCUUUGUUGAUUAAAUCUAAAACCCUAUUCGGACGGGAUUAGUUAGGGUGUAGAUGGAGUAAUGUUAUUUUACCAUAGGACGUCUAUAAUAUUGAUUGUCAAAUCGCACGGGAUUAGAAAUCUUCAGUAAAUUAGUUGCUUCCUGAUAUGUCUUUUUUACAUUCUAUGGUGCAAACACGCAACAUGACGCCAACGAGAAAAACUCGAAAUCGGACCAGCGUGUUUAAUUUCGGUUUGGGGAGAACGUCAGUUUCAGGAACAGUGUACAUUUUAUGAAAUUCUUCUAUUUGUUCUUUUGUUAAGUUAUUUUGGUGAUAUUAUUUAGCAGUGAGAGAGUUUUUGUUACUUUGUACUGUAUUUUAGAUUAAAAUGUUGCAUCUUUUAUAAAAUCUAUUGUUUAUGGGUGAUAAUUGGGCCAUCAGGUAAAAUGGGCCAUUUAAGGUUUGAGUGUCCUAUCUCUUUAAAUGUUAACAGCCAAUGACUGCAAAGGAUUUUAAACUGAUGCCAUAACAGUACUUGAAAUUAAGCCAAUGAUUUUAUUUGUUUGAUGUUGCUAUUGGGGGGGGGGGGUGAGGCCACAAUUUGAGGGAGGUCAGAAAAAAGUUGGUAAACUUGAUGCAAUCUUACUUAUCAAUAAAUAAAGAUUAUAAAUAACAUAUAAAACAAAUGCACAUUUACAUUUUUGUUUAUAAUCUUUGUCUUGAGAGUCUUUGUAAAAUAAAAUGCAGAUUUUACCAAAUAAUCCAGAUUUUUAUACAAAGAAAAGCAUUUAUAGUUACUGGCCCAAUUUACCUGAUGGUGUUAAGAUAAAAUGAGCCAUUGAUUUCAGUUGAAAUGGGCCACCUUCUGAGUUUAAGCAAAUAUUUUGGUGGUUACUCUUAAUAAAACUGAUUUAUAUUAUUAAUAUACAUUGUAUUGUUACUCAUUAAAAAUGGGGGAAAGAAAUGCUUUGAUACAAGUGAUAUGUGGUAAAGUAUCCUAAUGGUUAGCUAUUUAUUAUAGACAGCAUGAAAAACAGAAAAGAAAUAAUAGGGUCAUAAAGGAAUGGAAAGGAGAUUGAAACGAAAUGCAAAGCAUCCCUUUCAACGACGUGGCAAAAAAUUCAAUCAGUGAGUAGCAGAGAGAAUGAGAGGAGCAUUGGAGGACUAUAGCAAGAAUGUUGAGAGAGGCCUGAAAGUUCAGGUUGUUUUAUUUUUCUUAAAGUGUCUUUGACAAAUCUCUAUAUAUUUAUACAUAUCACUAAGUAGCCUAUAGUAGCCAACUUAUUAUUGUUAUAGAAUUUUUUUUUAAAGGCCUACAUAUGUUUAUGACAUUGACAGAAUUUUUUUUUAAAUGAAUGUUUAAAUGUGAUUUAAAUUGAUGUUCCAAUGUAAUUUAAAUCCAAUGUUACACUGUUACGUUAUAAAAUUAAAUGUAUUUUAUUUUAUCAGAAACGUCCCUUUCAGUUUUCAGCUUGACUGGCACACUUUUGCUGAUCAGCCAGUCCAUUUUACCUGAUCACUGCUAAACUUGAAAACACUUAAAAAAUUGUGUGGCAGCUAAUUUUUCAAAACCUAUAGGGUCAGAACAACUUUAUUUUAAUAUAUGAAUUUAACACAAAUAUUAAAAACUGUCCUAAUUAACCAUUAGCACAUAAUUAAAUGUCAUACAUAUCCAGUCUGAUUAUAUAUAAUAUGUCACACCAGAGGGCGCCACAUACAAGUACAGUGUUUAUUAUAAAUUCCUUUAGACAGCAAACCCUCUUGAUACGAAUGGAAAAACACACAAUGUCCUGGCUGUAACCAAGACUGCAUCCCAAUUUAAAGGCUGGAUCCCAAUUUAAAGGCUGGAUCAUUUAAUUAACCAUUAGCACACAAUUAAAUGUCAUACAUGUUUUUUUUUUUUUGUGUAUGAACCGAUUAACCAAAAAGUGGCCCAAUUUACCUGAUAUAACCCCUAUUAUAUAUAUCAAGUCUGAUUAUAUAAUAUGUCACACCAGAGGGCGCCAUAUACAAGUACAGUGGUUAUUAUAAAUUCCUUUACCCUCUGGAUACGAAUGAAAAAAUCUGACUGUAACAAAGGCUGCAUCCCAAUUUAAAUUCUGGAUCCUUUGAAUGCCACUUAAUGGAAUCCUAAAUGGGACUAACCUUCUGAUGAUUGAUCGCCUAGCAACAGUUUGAAAGAUGAGUUGGCAUCUUGACAUGUUAUUUGCUUAACAAAUGUAUAAGUAGUAUGGGUAUACUUGAUGAAAUAUACAAUGAAAUAUAUAUAUAUUUUUAAUGUAAAGUAAAGAUCAUAUUCAAUGAAGAUAUUUGGUAAAUUUCCUUCUGUAAAUAUAUAAAAAAAUAUAUUUAUCUUUAAUAUGUGUUGCUAAGGACUUGAUUUUCUUAAUAUCUUGAUUUGUUGCAACCUCAGAUUCCAGAUUACCAAAU